GGAAGUAAACGUCGUAACAAGGUUUCCGUAGGUGAACCUGCGGAAGGAUCAUUAUUGUAUAACCGAGGUGCGAGGGCUGUCGCUGACCCGAAAGGUCGUGCACGCCCGAGUGCCCUCACACACAUCCAUCUCACCCCUAUGUGCACCACCGCGUGGGUCCCCCUUUGGCUUGUUCGGAGGGGGGCUUACGUUUUCACACAAACUUUGUAUGCAGUGUAGAAUGUAUUUUUUGUUCUUGCGAUCACGCAAUCAAUACAACUUUCAACAACGGAUCUCUUGGCUCUC
rnacentral:misc_RNA from 1 species